GCGACGACGUUGGCGGUGGCGGUGGCGAUGGCGGUGGCGGUGGCGGUGGCGGUGGCGGUGGCGGUGGCGGUGACGGUGGCGGCAACCACGGCGGCAACCACGGCGGCGAACCUCUUGCGGACAAUCUCGUCGGCCGGCGACCGGUAUAGCCGCGACCGACCCGCAGGAAAGAAACAACUAUUCGACUUGAUGGAUCCGCGCUCCUUCGAACGUUCGGAUUCGAGUCGCCGACACGCACCGGCCAACGACACGACAGCCAUAGACAGCGAAGAAGAGAGCUUCGAACAUCGAACAUCGCGUCGUACAUCGUGCCGAACGGAGGAAUUGGAAAUUGGAGCGUCCAAACUGACAGUGAAGAAAGUGAGAAAAACGAGACGACGGGGCGACCCACUGGCGAACGAAACGCAACCUCCUCUCGAAGAAUCGACGAGGAUCUUGGAGGACAAAAAGUGGGAAAAAGGCACGCGGGUCAACGGAUACCUAUAAAACGAUAGAGACAAGAGGGGAAUAUACGAGACGCCGCGCCGCGUGGAAGGAUCGUGAACUCGCGGCAAACCAGAAGAGUAUUCGGGAACGAGGAGAACGAGAAGAACGAGAUGCCGGCGCGAGGAAAGGCAAACGAGGCAACACGAUAAAGAACGAAUCAACCAGGUAGAAAGACAGGGAUGCCGCGGUGAAGUUGCGAGAGAGCCGGCCAAACGAGAAGACCGACCAAAGAAGGAGAGGGAGAAGAAGAGAACGAUAGAAGACGGAUGUAUAUAGGUAGGAGGACAGGUAGUCGGCUCGAGGAAAGAAGAGACCGAGUGAAGAGCACACGGGGGAAAGAAGAGACGAAAGAAAAGGGAGGGUCCGCGAGGGGGAGUGGAGCGGUAAGCAGCGAAACGGAGCGGGGUAGAAAGCAGAGGGGUAAGGAGAGGAAAGGAAAGAGAAGAGAGAGACUCGUUCGAGAGAGAAUCUCGUACGUAUACCGGCAGUUCGGUUCGAUGACGUCACGACGUCGAUUUGAACGGACCAAUGAGCGUUCGAAGCGAAGCUGAAGAGGUAAAAAGGAUGUAGAGGGGACUGAACAGGCCGAAAGGACCCCGAGGGGGGCAACGAGCUCUAGGUUCCGGAGUUCGAGGGGGCAGGGGUAACGCGAAAGGUGCGCGCGGCCCCGGACGUGGGGCGCGGGGCCAGUUGAUCAGUGAGUGCGGUAGUGAUCUCAUCUCGUACCGCGCCAGGUGUGACUCCUCUCUUUCCUCUUCUUUUGAUCCGAGUCUAUGUGCCCUUGGUAAGACGGAGCAAGCAGUAGCGGACUUAAAAUUCACGUAUCGACUCGGCCGUGUCCUCGACUCCGAGCAACAGCCUCGAGCAACGGUCACCGACACCUGCAAGAAAUCUUCCUCGUUACUGCAAAAUUCUUAGCGAAUUCUCGGCGCAAUUUUGGUAACGAGCUACGAACCGCUUCUACGGAUUUUGGUUUUCGGCACUGGCCUUUUUUCCUACGAGAACGAACGACAAUUGCAUAGGUUAGCUGUGCAACAACAAGCCGUGACGAACAAAUGGAACGAAUCGAAGGUCGGCUUAUCAUGAAAGAUAGGUACUUACUCAUAUUUGCUGUAGGUACGUGACGAUGGACUUGUGCAACUUGGAUAAGCCAUUCCAGCGGCAAAGUAGGCUAGAAAUCUCAGUUGCCUUUGUUGCUGUAGCAGCUUUCAACAGGGAGAAAAAAUAAAGAAAAUUGAGUUUUAGAAAGUCGGGGAUUAUCGUUGAAUCGAGUCUAAAUCUUUCUGAUCAGUCUUCCUGUUACGCUCGAUACGAGAGCGAACCAGAAAUAAACCGGCAGUUUUUCAGAGUGGGGACACCAUCGACACGUGCAUGCCAUUAUCUGCACCGGGAAAUAGUGGAUUUUCGAUCGAGAGGGAGACGCUCGCUCGUAUAAACAGCCGUUAACGAUCGAUCCGUAUGUUUACCGAUUUUUACGAUCUCGAGAAUAGAAGGCCCGACACUGUCGGAUGAAUUGGCCGGCAGCAAAGAAGCUUUUCGAUUCUCGACGGUUUGAUUGGUUGGCACGACUAACCUUGCGAGUAUUUCAACACUCGAGGUAACAAGAAGAUCUUGGCGCGGACAUUUUCUUUGGUUAUCUAGCUGUAUGAGUAUUAUUCGACAUCAUAAAGCUAGGUUACCGGAGUUAAGCUCCUCGCCAUAUCAACUCCGCCGAUUCUUCUUCCCCGUUUCGAUUUGCUACUCAAGUAACCGCAAACCGAUGGAUGUAAAAAUGACUGAAAUCUUUAAAUACAUAUAACCAUAAGUAUUUUUAAAAAAACCAUAUAUGUAUAUAUAUUGUAAAUAAAUAUAAAUUUUCAGAAAGAAAGAAUAAAAAUAUUUUCUAAAACCCCAGAAAUCCCGACGAAUACUUACUGACCAUAUCGAUGAAAGAAAGAUGUCUUGUAGAAUAAACAACAUCGAAACACGAUGAAUAGAAAAAGAUCGCGCCUUACAU